GACGAACGCUGGCGGCGUGCCUAAUACAUGCAAGUAGAACGCUGAAGAGAGGAGCUUGCUCUUCUUGGAUGAGUUGCGAACGGGUGAGUAACGCGUAGGUAACCUGCCUGGUAGCGGGGGAUAACUAUUGGAAACGAUAGCUAAUACCGCAUAAUAGUAGAUGUUGCAUGACAUUUGCUUAAAAGGUGCAAUUGCAUCACUACCAGAUGGACCUGCGUUGUAUUAGCUAGUUGGUGAGGUAACGGCUCACCAAGGCAACGAUACAUAGCCGACCUGAGAGGGUGAUCGGCCACACUGGGACUGAGACACGGCCAGACUCCUACGGGAGGCAGCAGUAGGGAAUCUUCGGCAAUGGACGGAAGUCUGACCGAGCAACGCCGCGUGAGUGAAGAAGGUUUUCGGAUCGUAAAGCUCUGUUGUAAGAGAAGAACGAGUGUGAGAGUGGAAAGUUCACACUGUGACGGUAUCUUACCAGAAGGGGACGGCUAACUACGUGC
rnacentral:rRNA from 1 species